CCCACGUGGCAUCCUGAUGCUCUUGUAGCACCAGGCAUUCCCAAAGAAGGUGCCGGAGGUUGUUAGUUGGAGCCUCAAGCCCUUCUAAGACGAGAGGUCGGGCACUUACCGCUGGCGGCCAGGGCGGCGACGGCGUGGGAGGUGCCAGAGAGGUGAGCCGGGGCGGACUCCGUGGCCGCCACCCCAAAGAUGGCAAUGGGGCCAUACAGGCAGGCACCCAGGAACAGGCCUAGACAACUGAUGGCCAGCUGCGCAGACACGCCCAACCACGCCAGUGCGUGCGCUUUGGAUCCUUCGUCCCGUUGAGCCUCGGCGACCUCGCGCUUAUUUCGAACCUCAACCAAACGUUUCCUCGUGUCGUCGCGCGGGUGAAACAAUAUUCGACCGGAAGACGACGUCGUCGAAAGGAGAACUCCGGCAGAGACAAAAGCGGCACGGAGUAACCGCAUAGGGCACAGUACGGACAAGAGCCCACCUCGGAAGAGUCCCUGGAUAUGUGGAAGCAGAGCGCGUGGAAGCCCGCCGCCACUCCAGCCAGGAAGAGCACCGCCACGGGCAUUCGGGCGUUGCCUGAGCCCUGGCCCUGCAAGGAAGUCUGUGAGUGUCGGUGGCGAGAGCACGGUGCUUCAAACGUGUCUCCGACUGGUGCGUUUAGUGUCCUGUUCCACCCGUGUAUCCAAAGUGGCUCCCAAGUGACGGCAAAAUGCAUCUCAAAAGCCGCAGUGUCAUGCUGUCAGAUGUCGUGAACUUAGAAGUUCAGAAAAAAAAUAUUGAGCAGUCCCAGCAAUGGCUGUGACAUGUCACGGCAAAGUCGUUGGGCAUACCAGCAUUGCACUCAUGUGAACAGCAGCGUUCAGAAAGAAAAAAAAAGACGUCCGACAAAGCGCAUCUCCCAGCACGAGCUCUUGGCAUUGACAGUGCUACAACAACCUCUUCCUAUCGGCUUUUUUUUUUUUUUUUUUUUCCAGAGAGCACGUGUAGUGGACAUCAGGUACUACAAAAACGCUAACUAUAGAGCAGGUUAUUAACGCUGUGGUGUAGCUCGGUGGCAACGCCUCCACUUCUCACACAGCGGACUCGUUUUUAAGGAUUUGGCAGCAUCGACGAUGGACGCCCUACAACGCCAACUACACCAUUAACAACGACCUCAACUACUACAACUACUACACCUGCAAUAUCCACAACCGUCAUCAUUUCCAGUAGUGGAAAGAGCCCAUAAAAGCUAUCGCUAUAAAACAUGAGAGAAUGCAAGUGUUGCUGUCAUCGUAACAUCCCGAUCACUGGCUGCCAAAGCUUCCAUGAACUGCCACGCUGGAGAGCUACUUGCAGCAGAACACACACCAGCCACAUCCAUCACCGCUGCCGCCAGGAUAGCGGCCGGCGACAACGCGACUCUGCUUCGACGUCGCUGGGCAGAAAUCGAGGGACUACUUUUUAGGGGGCGGUAAACACACCAGUCGGAUAAGCGUUGCAGGCGGGCAGGGGCCCCACCUUGCGUGCGUGCAAGAACCAGUCCGUCAGGUAGCCCGCCAGGAUGCCCCCGAAGAAUCCGCCGGACUCUAUGCUGCUCGUCAGGGAGCUGCCUGCAUGGACCGGUCCCCGGGCUAUGGCCCCUCCGCGCCUCUUGGCACUUCGUGCUGACGUACCCACAUACUGGGAGUGGCCCAGGUCCUCCAUGAGGUAGAGCUGGCCCCAGUCGACGGCGCUCGUCUUGGCGCAGAACACCACCAGGUAGCCGAAGGACACCAGCCACAGGAACGGGCUCCGCACCAGGUCCGCCGCGGUGGCGGCGCUCUUGCCAUCGCCUAAAGGACGUUGUGCCGACCAGGGGGGUAAAGACAAAAUGCGGCAAACCGUAGGCACCAACAUCGGUGGCCCCGAAAGAAAGAAUGAAAAAGAGAGAAACAGAAGAGUAAAAAAAAAAA